GGGGGUGUAUUGUUUCGACAGGACUGCACAUUAAAAACUGCAAGCCGAAUAAGAUUCUAAAGUGCGUUAGACUUUGAAUCAAAUUACGUGCAGAAGAUAAUUCUGACACACAGUUCGCCGCAUCUGGCGGACCAGCUCUCGCUUUUGCCUAACAUUUUUUAGGUAAAGCUUUUGAGCUUGUCUCUUUAGUUUUUUCUCGGUGAGAUUAUUGAGGCAACAACUUAGCCGAGAGUAGGUCUUCGAGUCCUGAUCAGACCUCAGACUGAACCUUUGAUCUUUGCCUUGUUUCUGUUUGUUAAUCUAACAAAGAGGUGAGGCGAGAUCCGCCGGUUGGCGGAAAAAGAUUAACUAAGCUUGUAGAUGUUUUUCAUUUGUUUUCUUGGACGCGGGCCCAUAACCCGCCACCUCCACAA
rnacentral:tmRNA from 1 species